AAUCGAAGUCGGGGAUGGCUGGGUGUACCGGAAAUGUAUUUAGGGACGGCGUUUAGAUAGUCUUGUGGAGGUAGGGCACUGGAUAGGUAAGGGGGCGUGAGCCUACCAAACUUAACCAAACCACGAAUGCCGCAAGAUGUUUCUGAGCAGUGAGACAGUGGGGGAUAAGCUCCAUUGUCGAGAGGGAAACAGCCCAGAUCGCAGGCUAAGGUCCCUAAGUGUGUGCUAAGUGUGAAACGAAGUGAGAUUGCUAAAACAGCUAGGAGGUUGGCUUAGAAGCAGCCAUCCUUUAAAGAGUGCGUAAUAGCUCACUAGUCGAGGAAUCUUGCGCGGAAAAUGUAACGGGGCUAAAGCACACCACCGAAGCCGCGGGCCCGCUUAGGCGGGCGGUAGGGGAGCGUUGUCAGGGCGUCGAAGCUAGAUCGUGAGGUCUAGUGGAGCGCUGAGAAGUGAGAAUGCCGGCAUGAGUAGCGACAAUCCUGGUGAGAAUCCAGGACACCGAAAGCAUAAGGUUUCCUACGCAAUGCUGAUCAGCGUAGGGUAAGUCGGGCCUAAGCCGUAGCGUAUAGCGAAGGCGAUGGACAGCAGGUCAAAAUUCCUGCACCGCAGAUUCAGCGUUAUAAAGCAAAGGGGGGACACGGGAAGAUAGGCGGAGCGCACCCAUCGGACAUGGUGCGUCCGGCCCUGAAGGCCAAGCUGGGAUAGGCAAAUCCGUUCCAGCGUGAUGAGCUGAGGGGGCUAGAAACUCUAGGGCUUAUGCCCGGGGGAAUUCCGUUGAUUCUAUGCCGUCGAGAAAAUCCUCGUUGCAAGUUGUUUCAGCGUCCGUACCGCAAACCGACACAGGUAUGUAGGGGUAAGUGUCCCCAGGUGAACGAGAGAACCCUCGUUAAGGAAUUCGACAAGUUGACCCCGUAACUUAGGGAUAAGGGGUGCCCGUGGGGUGAAGGCUGCUAGCCAGCCGGAUGCCUUAGCGGGCGACACUAAACAGGCUCAGGCGACUGUUUAUCAAAAACACAGGUCUCUGCUAAACCGAAAGGUGAUGUAUAGGGGCUGACACCUGCCCAGUGCCGGAAGGUUAAAGGGAUGGGUUCGUCCGCUUGCGGACAAAGCUCAGAACUGAAGCCCCGGUGAACGGCGGCCGUAACUAUAACGGUCCUAAGGUAGCGAAAUCCCUUGUCGGGUAAGUUCCGACCCGCACGAAUGGUGUAACGACCUGAGCGUUGUCUCAACGAGGGACUCGGUGAAAUUGCAAGACCCGUGAAGAUGCGGGUUACCCGUGACAGGACAAAAAGACCCCGUGGAGCUUUACUGUAGCUUGGCAUUGGACUGGGGUUACAAAUGUGUAGGAUAGGCGGGAGACUUUGAAGCAGGCACGCCAGUGUUUGUGGAGUCGACCUUGAAAUACCGCUCUUUUGUAUUCUUGGCCCUAACUCAACGAAAAUUGAGGACCCUGCCAGGUGGGCAGUUUGACUGGGGCGGUCGCCUCCUAAAAGGUAACGGAGGCGCCCAAAGGUUCCCUCAAGGUGGAUGGAAAUCACCUGAAGAGUGUAUUGGCAUAAGGGAGCUUGACUGUGAGACCUACAAGUCGAGCAGGGACGAAAGUCGGGCAAAGUGAUCCUACGGCACCGUGUGGAAGGGCCGUGGCUUAUCGGAUAAAAGCUACCCCGGGGAUAACAGGCUUAUCUCGCCCAAGAGUUCACAUCGACGGCGAGGUUUGGCACCUCGAUGUCGGCUCGUCCCAUCCUGGGGCUGAAGGCGGUCCCAAGGGUCCGGCUGUUCGCCGGUUAAAGGGGUACGUGAGUUGGGUUCAGAACGUCGUGAGACAGUUCGGUCUCUAUCCGCCGUGGGCGAAGGAGGCUUGAGGGAACCUUUCCCUAGUACGAGAGGACCGGGAAGGACAAACCUAUGGUGUUCCAGUUGUUCCGCCAGGAGCAUCGCUGGGUAGCUAUGUUUGGCAGCGAUAAGAGCUGAAGGCAUCUAAGCUCGAAGCAUCCCCCAAGAUGAGGCCUCCCUCCCCGAUUAAGUUCGGGGGUAAGACAGCAGCGAGACUAGCUGCUUGAUAGGUCGGAUGUGUAAGUAGGGCAACCUAUUCAGCAUACCGAUACUAACCAGUCGAGAGAUUUGACC
rnacentral:rRNA from 1 species